rnacentral:rRNA from 1 species
GACGAACGCUGGCGGCGUGCUUAACACAUGCCAGUCGAACGGAAAGGCCCCCUUGUGGGGUACUCGAGUGGCGAACGGGUGAGUAACACGUGAGUAACCUACCCUUGACUUUGGGAUAACUUCAGGAAACUGGGGCUAAUACCGGAUAGGAGCUCCUGCUGCAUGGUGGGGGUUGGAAAGUUUCGGCGGUUGGGGAUGGACUCGCGGCUUAUCAGCUUGUUGGUGGGGUAGUGGCUCACCAAGGCUUUGACGGGUAGCCGGCCUGAGAGGGUGACCGGCCACAUUGGGACUGAGAUACGGCCCAGACUCCUACGGGAGGCAGCAGUGGGGAAUAUUGCACAAUGGGCGGAAGCCUGACGCAGCAACGCCGCGUGCGGGAUGACGGCCUUCGGGUUGUAAACCGCUUUCGCCUGUGACGAAGCGUGAGUGACGGUAAUGGGUAAAGAAGCACCGGCUAACUACGUG